rnacentral:rRNA from 1 species
UAGGGAAUCUUCCACAAUGGGCGCAAGCCUGAUGGAGCAACACCGCGUGAGUGAAGAGGGUUUCGGCUCGUAAAGCUCUGUUGUUAAAGAAGAACACGUAUGAGAGUAACUGUUCAUACGUUGACGGUAUUUAACCAGAAAGUCACGGCUAACUACGUGCCAG